UAGGGAAUAUUGGUCAAUGGAUGCAAGUCUGAACCAGCCAUGCCGCGUGCAGGAAGAAGGCCUUCUGGGUUGUAAACUGCUUUUGUCAGGGGAUAAAAUGGGCGUGCGCGCUUAAUUGAAGGUACCUGGCGAAUAAGCCACGGCUAACUACGUGCCAGCAGCCGCGGUAAUACGUAGGUGGCAAGCGUUGUCCGGAUUUAUUGGGUUUAAAGGGUGCGUAGGCGGUCCCAUAAGUCAGUGGUGAAAUACUCUAGCUUAACUAGAGGGGUGCCAUUGAUACUGCGGGACUUGAGUGGAGUUGAAGUGGGCGGAAUUGACGGUGUAGCGGUGAAAUGCUUAGAUAUCGUCAAGAACACCGAUAGUGAAGACAGCUCACUAAGCUCAAACUGACGCUGAGGCACGAAAGUGUGGGGAUCAAACAG
rnacentral:rRNA from 1 species